rnacentral:rRNA from 1 species
AUUGAACGCUAGCGGCAUGCUUUACACAUGCAAGUCGAACGAGUGGCGGACGGGUGUGUAAUAUAUCGGAACGUGCCCAGUAGCUGGGGAUAACUACUCGAAAGAGUGGCUAAUACCGCUUACUUUUCGAGCGUCCGUUAUCGGAUUCGCUAGUGGGUGGGGUAAAGGCUUACCAAGGCCACGAUCCGUAGCUGGUUUGAGAGGACGACCAGCCACACUGGGACUGAGACACGGCCCAGACUCCUACGGGAGGCAGCAGUGGGGAAUUUUGGACAAUGGGGGAAACCCUGAUCCAGCCAUCCCGCGUGUAUGAGAAGGCCUUCGGGUUGUAAAGUACUUUUGGCAGAGAAGCGGUAUCUGCAGAAUAAGCACCGGCUAACUACGUGCCAGCAGCCGCGGUAAUAC